AAACUUUCAACAACGGAUCUCUUGGUUCUGGCAUCGAUGAAGAACGCAGCGAAAUGCGAUAAGUAAUGUGAAUUGCAGAAUUCAGUGAAUCAUCGAAUCUUUGAACGCACAUUGCGCCCCCAUGGCAUUCCGGGGGGCAUGCCUGUUCGAGCGUCAUUA
rnacentral:rRNA from 1 species